UGUCUUUCCAUCCAGACUCCAUGGAAGACUGGAGACCUGAGCAGGAUUAUGACAUCACAGGUAUCACGGAGACUGAACAACUGUAACAUAAGAAUGACCAGACUGAGUCAGACCAAUGGUCCAGCUAGCCCACUAUCGUGUAUUCCCACCGUGGCCAAUACCAGGUGUUUCAGAGGGAAUGAACAGAACAGGCUUCUCCGAGGAAGACGAGGCACAGGGACAAAAGGAAGAAGCCGAAAGGUUUUGGACGCUGUGAGGAAGGGUUGGAGGAGACUUGUGCACCCCUAGAGACAUGCUGCCUCAUGCACCUGGAGCAGCUCCCCUGGGCUCACCGCCUCAGGAUCAUUGAGAGGAAUAUUCAGUACCUGGCCAGACACCUGGAUGAAGAUC